CAGACUUAGACUGCUGUUGUCUUCUUCUCAAAACAAUGUGUCUUUCUACUCUGAUCAAAACGGUGUGUCCCCUAGCGGAUACUCCAUGAAUUGCAUGUUAUUCAAAAUUUUCGUUCCAUGUCUUUUCUGCAUUUUUUUCACUUUUAAAUGAUCCUGCGGGCCUGAUCAAACCUGCUUGCCCGCCGGCCGUAUGUUUGACAUCCCCGCUCCAAGUCCUGAUUGUUUUUUGUACAUUCCAAUAUAUCAGGAAUUACAAAUGUGUAUCAUCAAAGCAUAUUCACCCAAAGUAUAUUAUUAUUAUUAUUUACAGUCAAUGACGCAUCUUUCACACAUGGCCAAGAACAACCAUCAACAUCAGGGAGGGCCACCAAACGAAAGAGGAUUGCAACACUUACACAUGACGACGAUGAUGUUGAAGACAGCGAUGAAGAGGACAAAAAGACUGGACACAGAUCUCUUGGGAAGAAGAAGACAGCAGUUCGAAAAGAACAUAGUGAAGUUGAAUUGGAAACUAAAAAAAGGAAGAGACCCAGACUCCAAAGGAAAGGGCAGCAAUUGAUCGACACCUUUCAAAAUUUGUAGCAUUAAAGAAAGUUCCAAGGAAAGAUGACUGCGUUAAGUGUCGUAGUCAAGCAUCGCCAGACCUUGAAGACCGCACAUGGAGAGAUAUUCCACAAUGAAAUUAUUAAAAGAUAUGUAAUUGGGAAAAAAGCUUGAAGAUGAAAGAUAGAGAGAGGGAGAGACAUAGGGGGGAGAUAGAUGAAGGGAGAGAGGGAAUGGGAUGAGAGAGAGGGGAGAAAAGGAAUAGAGUUUGAAAGCACAGUUAUUUGGUAGGGUAUAUGUGGGUUCAUGUG